rnacentral:tRNA from 1 species
GAGGGUAUGGCUUAGUUGCAGAGUGUGUGCUUAGCAUGCACAGGGUCUUGGGUUCAAUCCCCAGUGCUUCCA